rnacentral:tRNA from 1 species
UCCCUGGUGGCUCAGAUGGUAAAAGCAUCUGCCUACAAUACGGGAGACCCAGGUUCGAUCCCUGGGUGGGGAA